rnacentral:lncRNA from 1 species
UUCUUCCCCAUUUUUGUGCCCAACCUCUGUCUUCUCUGCCACCUCUUAGAGCUCAUCUUUCCCAUUUCCUUCCCAACUUUUCCCCAUUUUCCUUCCCAACUUUUCCCCAUUUUCCUUCCCAACUUUUCCCCAUUUUCCUUCCCAACUUUUCCCCAUUUUCUUCCCAACUUUUUCCCAUUUUCUAUCCCAACUUUUCCUUUUCCCAUCGCCUCCUCCAUCCUCCUCAAUGGGUGAAGCCCCUCUCAGGAUUUCCUUCUUUCCCAUUUCUUUCCUGACUUUUUCCUUCCAAACUUCCCCCUUUUCCCAAAGUUUUCCCACUACUUUCCUCUUCCACCCUCUUCAAUGCGUCCCCUUCCCCCUUUUCCUUCCCAACUUUUCCCUUUUUCCCAACAUUUCCCAGCAUUUCCCUUUCCCAUCCUCUCCUGUAACUCCUCCAUCAGCCGAAGCCACUCUCACCGUUUCCUUCUUUCCCCUUUUCCUUCCCAACUUUCGCCUUUUCCCAAAGUUUUCCCAUUAUUUCUCCUCACCAACUUUGCCUUUUUGUCCAACUUCUUCCCCAUCUUUGUGCCCAACCUCUUUGUCUUCUCUGCCGUCUCUUAGGACUCAACUUUUCCCGUCUUCUUUCCCAUCUUUUCCCGUCUUCUUUCCCACCUUUUCCCGUCUUCUUUCCCAACUUUUCCCACCGCCUCCUCCAACCCGCUCUCACCGUUUCCUUCUUUCCCUUUUCCCUCCCAACUUCCCCCUUUUCCCGCAGUUUUCCCCCCUUUUCCUGCUCCAUCUUUCUCCUCCUGUCCAUCAUCCCUGCCCUCCUUCCCCUCCUUUCUGUCCUCUCAGUCUGAUCCUUCCCGCUUUGUUUCCCACAUUUUUCCUUUCCCCUUUUCCCUCCCUCCCCUUUCUUCCCUUCUCCAGAGCAGUGCACACCCCACAGCACAUUGGGGUUCCUACAGAAUUGUUCUUAGCGUAAUUAAGCUGAAGAUCUAAUGAGAGCACGGACUACACGGGGAGAGAAAGCGCGAUCCCAUAGGAUGCAAUGGGAAUUGUCUGCAUGAGCUGGCUCAGGCACGACCCCAUAAAACAUCAGGGGAAUCGGCUUCACCUGCGGGGUCAGGAGCAAUCCCAUAGGACACAAAGGAAUUGUUGUGGUGCCUUGGGUUCAGCACGACCCCAUAAAGCAGGAACGGAACGGUCUUCAUGAAUGGGGUUCAGCACGACCCCAUAAAGCAGGAAC